AUAGAUUUUAUUUAUUAAUUUUAUUUAUUUAUUUAAUUUAUUUAAUAAAAAUAAUUUUAAAAUUUUAAGUUUAAGUAUUUUAUAAAGAAAAAAUAAUUUUAAUUAUAGUUUAUUUGUAUUGUGAAAGAAAAUUGAAAUAAUUUGAAAAAUUUUUAUUUUAAAAGAAAAUUUAAUUUAUUGUACCUUGUGUAUCAGGGUUUAUUAAAUAAAAAAUUAUUAUAUUAAUUUUUCUCGAAUUUUAAAGAUUUAAUUAUAUAUAAAAGUUACUGUGGAAUAAUUAUUUUUAAUAUAUAAUUAGAAAUGAAAUGUUAAUCGUUUUAAAAUAUAUCUAGUUUUUUAAGAAAUAAAUUUAAUUUAGAUUUAUAAAUUUAAAUUAUUUAAUUAUUUUAAAUAAUUUAUUUUAUAAAAUUAAUAUUUUAAGGGAUUAGCUUUAAAAUAAAUUUUUAAAUUUUAAAUUAAUUAUUUAAUAAAUAUAAGCUUAAAAAUAGCUAUUAUUAAUAAAUUUGUUAUAAUUUAUUUUAAAAAUUUAAUUAUUUAAUAUAAAAUUAAAUUAUUUAUUAAAAUAUAAAUUUUAAUAAUAAAAAUUUAUAAAUUAUGAUAAAAUUAGUAUAUAAAAUUUUUAUAAAUAAUUAUUUAUGAAAGGUUUAAAUAAGGAAUUCGGCAAAAUAUAUAUUCACCUGUUUAUCAAAAACAUGUCUUUUUGAAUUAAAUUUAAAGUCUAACCUGCCCACUGAUAUAAAUUAAAGGGCCGCAGUAUUUUGACUGUGCGAAGGUAGCAUAAUCACUAGUCUUUUAAUUGGAGGCUUGUAUGAAUGGUUGAAUGAGAUAUAUACUGUCUUUUUUAAAAUUAUAUAGAAUUUUAUUUUUUAGUUAAAAAGCUAAAAUAAAAUUAAAGGACGAGAAGACCCUAUAGAUCUUUAUUUUUGUUAUUUAUAAAUUAAAAAGAAUUUUAAAAUUUAUAAUUUAAUAAAAAAUUUUAUUGGGGUGAUAUUAAAAUUUAAAAAACUUUUAAGAUUUAUUAACAUUAAUAUAUGAAUAAAUGAUCCAGUUUUAUUGAUUAAAAAUUUAAGUUACCUUAGGGAUAACAGCGUAAUUUUUUUUUAGAGUUCAUAUCGACAAAAAAGAUUGCGACCUCGAUGUUGGAUUAAGAGUUAUUUUUAGGUGUAGAAGUUUAAAGUUUAGGUCUGUUCGACCUUUGAAUUCUUACAUGAUCUGAGUUCAAACCGGCGUAAGCCAGGUUGGUUUCUAUCCUUAAUUAAUUAUUAUAUUAUAGUACGAAAGGACCUAAUAUAAAAAAUAUAGAUUUUAAUAAUAUGAUUAAUAUUAAUAUUAGAUA
rnacentral:rRNA from 2 species